rnacentral:rRNA from 1 species
UACGUAGGGUGCGAGCGUUAAUCGGAAUUACUGGGCGUAAAGGGUGCGUAGGCGGCGAGGCAAGUCUGGUGUGAAAUCCCCAGGCUUAACUUGGGAACUGCGUCUGAUACUGGGAGGCUUGAGUGCGGGAGAGGGAUGUGGAAUUCCAGGUGUAGCGGUGAAAUGCGUAGAUAUCUGGAGGAACACCGGUGGCGAAGGCGGCAUCCUGGACCGACACUGACGCUGAGGCGCGAAAGCUAGGGAGCAAACGGG